GUGAACCUCACCUACGGAAACGUAGUGUUAGACGAGGGACAUACUCAAAAGUGAACCCCACCUACGGAAGAACGUAGGUUAGACGGGGAACACAGCGGCAAAGAGUGAACCUCACCUACGGAAACGUAGUGUUAGACGAGGGACAUACUCAAAAGUGAACCCCACCUGCGGAAGAACGUAGGUUAGACGGGGAACACAUCGACAAAAGUGAACCCCACCUACGGAAGAACGUAGGUUAGACGGGGGACACGUCGGCUAAACACACACCCCAUUCUACAAAAAUGUAGACAGAGGGGCAAGUGCCCAAGAGUAAACCUCACCUACGGAAGAACGUAGGUUAGACGAGGGACGUACUCAAGAGUAAACCUCACCUACGGAAGAACGUAGGUUAGACGAGGGACGUACUCAAAGAAUAGUCCUCACCCACGGAUGAACAUGGGUAGACGAGGAAGCACAAUCAGCCCCUAUCGCGGAAAGGCGAAAAAAAAAAAGGAGGGGGCAAGUAUUCAAGUAAUAUUCCUCACCCACGGAUGAACGCGGGUAGACGAGGAAGCACAAUCAGCCCCUAUCGCAGAAAGGCGGAAAAAAGGAGGGGGCAAGUAUUCAAAUAGUAAGUCCUCACCCACGGAUGAACAUGGGUAGACGAGGAAGCACAAUCAGCCCCUAUCGCAGAAGGGCGGAAAAAAGGAGGGGGCAAGUAUUCAGGUAAUAUUCCUCACCCACGGAUGAACGCGGGUAGACGAGGAAGCACAAUCAACCCCUAUCGCAGAAAGGCGGAAAAAAGGAGGGGGCAAAUAUUCAAUUAACAGUCCUCACCCACGGAUGAACGUGGGUAGACGAGGAAGUACACUCAGCCCCUAUCGCAGAAAGGCGGAAAAAAGGAGGGGGUCGGGUACUCUCAAAACCCGCCACAGGGAAGAGAACCCAAGCAGUGCUCAAGGN
rnacentral:lncRNA from 1 species